rnacentral:rRNA from 1 species
CAGCAGCCGCGGGAAUACGUAGGGUGCAAGCGUUAAUCGGAAUUACUGGGCGUAAAGCGUGCGCAGGCGGUUAUAUAAGACAGAUGUGAAAUCCCCGGGCUCAACCUGGGAACUGCAUUUGUGACUGUAUAGCUAGAGUACGGCAGAGGGGGAUGGAAUUCCGCGUGUAGCAGUGAAAUGCGUAGAUAUGCGGAGGAACACCAAUGGCGAAGGCAAUCCCCUGGGCCUGUACUGACGCUCAUGCACGAAAGCGUGGGGAGCAAACAGGAUUAGAUACCCCGGUAGUCCCUGUCUUUAUACA